CGGGGAUCCACCGGGGGAGCACCGAGCCCGAGGAGGGCCCGGGGAGCAGAUCACAGCGAGCACAAGGGGCAGGAGGUCGGGCUGUGAGAAGCCCCAGCGCUAAUGGCACCUGGGUGGCACCUGUCCCGCACCUGCCCUGGGCAGGGACCCCAGUCUCACCCUGCCCAGCCGGGAGGCCGAGCAGCGCUGCCCCGGCCCCGUGACACGAGGCGGAAAGGCGAGAGGGCCGCGCGCCGGGAUGCAGCCGGGCCCCGCCACCCAACCCCGGCCAGGCCGCGGAACCGCCCGGGCACAGCCGCUCCCGGCGGGGCGAGGGCCGCGGCGCGCUCCGGGGGACACCGGGCCGCUGAGGGACCCCGGCGCUUGCAGAGUGCCCCACGAGGAGCCCCGGCUCCCCAAGCGAUGGCUGCAGGAACAGGAGCCACAGAGGCUGUUACAUGAUCCGGCUGAGCAGAUGCCGUUUAAAAUUACACGAUGUGCCAUUUCUGUAGCGCUGGCACCAGCCCACUGAGUCAUACGUGGCUGCACGAAGGCGGCACCACCAACACUGACAGCCCAGAGACUUCGCGGCCUCGUUAAAUAACCCAAAAUGCAGCAAAACCCUCUCUCAAAGCCAGGAUUCCCUACGUUUCCUUGACUGCCGCUCACAGUUCCUGGAAGCAAAUCUUUGCUGCCCUUUGGUUUAUCCACCCCAAGGCUCUGACAUUUCUGGGUCAUUUUAGAGGCGAAUGUUUCUUUCAUCUCGACCACUGCACUAGGAC
rnacentral:lncRNA from 12 species